CGUCCGACGAGGAGCAGGCGCUGGAGGACUGGGUGGCUGCUGCUUCUGGCACUUACUGGGGCUGGGGGGGAAAGAGGUCCUAAAAGAGGGUUUAAAAGAGGUUUAAAUGAGGUUUUAAAAGAGGUUUAAAUGAGGUUUUAAAAGAGAUUUUAAGUGAGGAUUUUAUUCCAUAGUGAGGCGCAGGGUGAGACCUUGGGUGGCUGCUGCUUCUGGCACUUACUGUGAGGGGCUGGAGGGGAAAGAAAGGGUGAAAGGGGUUUAAAAGAGGUCCUAAAAGAGGUUUUAAAAGAGGUUUAAAUGAGGUUUAAAAGAGGUUUAAAUGAGGUUUAAAAUGAGGUUUUAGAGGAUUUUAUUCCAUAGUGAGACACAGGAGAUGUAAAACUGGGUGGCUGUUGAUUUUCUCCAUAAAAACAGAGGAAGUUUUCACACUUGAUUGUGGAAGGGCACCCUACAAUAACAUUGGGGUGACUCUAAACACCCCACUUUAUUAUGGAAGAAACAGAUAAAACUGCCUAAUCACCAGCAGCUAAUCCCAUUAACAGAUGAAUUAAUUAAUUAAUGCAGCCCUGUGUCCCCAGGUGGCCUCAGAGACAUGGGCGUUAUUGUGGCCGCCAUCUUGGGUGACCCUACAGUAACUUUGGUUUUCUCUAAAAACUGAGACAGUUUUUCCACUUUAUUAUGGAAGGUGAUCCUGUCUAAUCACUGAAUUGAUUAAUUAAUGCACCCCCGUGUCCCUCCCAGUUAAUUAAUGCACACCUGUGUGUCCCAGGUGGCCUCAGAGACAUGGGUGCUGCC
rnacentral:lncRNA from 1 species